rnacentral:lncRNA from 1 species
GGGCACCUCAGGAUCGUCAGUAAAUGCAUACUAAUCAGAUUUUUUUUUUUCUUUCUUUCUUUCUUAUGGUAGAUGUGUUCGACAAUAUAUUUAUUUGGGAUAUCUGAAACUGAAGCUCUUCUAUCUAAAUGGUUAUGGAGGUACGGGAGAGAGCAUGAGGCCCUUUGGCGAAGGGUAAUUGAUGCCAAAUAUGGGAAGUGUGACAAUGGUGGGAUGCCCUCAAAGGUGACAUGUCCAUAUGGGUGUAGUUUAUGGAGAGGGAUUCAAGCGAGCCAAGAGGAAUUCAUAGAAGGUAUAACAAAAUUAGCCAAAAGGGGUGACAAGAUUCGCUUUUGGCAUAACAUAUGGUUGGGGGAAAUUUCUUUCUUUAGGAGAUUUCCUAGGAUUUAUAGGUUUGCCGCAAUGAAGGAGGGGACGGUCUUGGGGCACAAAAGAGAUGAAGGGGGAUGGAAUCUUCACUUAAGGAGGACUAUGUUCCGAGAAGGUGAACAAUCUCAACUUGACCACCUCACGGCGUUACUUGAAAACGUGGACUUAGUGGAUGAAGAAGAUGAAUGGGAAUGGAAGUGGAAGAAAAGUAAGACUUUCACCAUCAAAUCAUGUUACAAGUACUUGGUUUCUCGGGCUAUUCCUAGAGGUGUGGAGACUAUGAAUUUCCCUUACAAGUUUACUUGGGAGCCACCUAUCCCAACGAAUGUUAAAUUUUUCGUUUGGAGUCUUCAUUGGAAGAAAAUCCUCACUAUUGAUAAGUUACAAAGUAGAGGAUUCUUGCUGGCGAAUAGGUGUGUCCUAUGUAAAAGGGAGGAAGAGUCUAUGGAGCACUUGUUGUUCAAAUGCGCUUAUGCUCAACAAGUAUGGAUGGACUUGAUUGAUAUGUGUGGAGCAGCUAGAAGCUGUUGUACUAGCUGAAAAUCUCUGAAACAGUGUUUGGAUCAAUGGCCAUCAUUGAAUGGAGGUGUACUAGCAGGGAAGAUAUGGAACCUGAUACCAUAUGCAGUGGUCUAGUGCCUCUGGACAGGGAGAAAUGAAGCAAUCUUCAGGGAGUGUUCAACAACAACAACGAAACUUGUCUUAAGAAUCAAAGCUGUUGUCUGGACUUGGCUGCACAUGGACAAGAGAGCUAUGGAAUGGAGGGAGAGAACUUCAUUUUCUGAACUGGUUGUGAACUGGCAAUUUUUCAUGGCUGAAGGGGUAUGACUCACUCAGAUGCAAAAUCAGUUCCCCAAGCUUAGAACGGAACAUGGUAUCACCCAGGCCAGUGGGGACAGGGGGCCUUUGGCUCAGGCAGAAACUGCAGGUGUCUUCAUGACUGUACAGGCGAAGCUGAAACAAUUGUUAUGCAGGGCUGGGCAAUAGCAAUUGGAAGGGGAUUGCGAACAGUGCAAGGUUGUUGCAAUCUGUUCGUAAGCUACAGAGGAGGCAGUUUUGUUGGGUAAUGUUUGCGAGGAAGGGCUGGAAAAUGCUGGAGCUUGCGCAACAGUUUCUGUAAGGCGUAUUUCCUUCUUAUCUUCAUUUCUGUACUUGCGAAUUUUCUGUUUGUAAUGUGCUCAACAGUAGUGAUUAUGUUUGUGUAAAAGCGGAUAUGUCCUCUUGGAAAAAACUGACGAUGCACGAAGGUGUAGGCUGAUCAGAUUUGUAAGGUGUUGUUUGCGUUUUAGUAAAAUUAUAAACUUUUAUCAAAAAAAAAAAAAACUGAACAUUUUUGUACUGACAUAUCUUCAUUUUCUUUCUGUGUAUAAUUUUCAAGCCACAACUUGGCAACUUAAACGAACAAAUGUCGUGACUGCAGGACAUGAAAAUCUCUGCUUAAAGUCAUCA